AGGGCGUUAGUUAGGCGGCAAGGAAUCCAUUUUCUGAGAUCUGGUUCUAGUAGUUGAUCACCUUCGGGUGAGAUGCAGCUGGAAUUAGAAUGAAGUUUAUGACUGAAUUGCCAAUAUGCUUAACGUGUUGUCUGGAUUAGACCCGAAACCGAGUGAGCUACCCAUGGCCAGGUUGAAACCCGGAUAAUAUCCGGGCGGAGGACCGAACCCGUGUCUGGUGCAAAAGGCUGGGAUGAGCUGUGGGUAGGGGUGAAAUGCCAAUCGAACCUGGAGAUAGCUGGUUCUCCCCGAAAUGUAUUGAGGUGCAGCCUCAACUGAAGUCUUAGGGAGGUAGGGCUCUGGAUGGGCUAGGGUGCGUAAGCAUACCAAACUCAACCAAACCACAAAUGCCCUAAGAUGAUCGUUGGGAGUGAGACAGUGGGGGAUAAGCUCCAUUGUCGAGAGGGAAACAGCCCAGACCGCCGGCUAAGGCCCCCAAGUGUGGACUAAGUGGGAAAGGAUGUGGGAUUCCCUAGACAGCUGGGAGGUUGGCUCAGAAGCAGCCAUCCUUUAAAGAGUGCGUAACAGCUCACCGGUCGAGGGAACCUGCGCCGAAGAUGUAACGGGGCUAAGUCCACCGCCGAAGCCGCGGAUGGCUUUCAUCUUUGGAUGAAGGUCGUGGUAGAGGAGCGUUCCCAGGGCAGUGAAGUUAGCUCGGAAGAGCUGGUGGAGGCCUGGGAAGUGAGAAUCCCGGAAUGAGUAGCGACAAUCCCGGUGGAAACCCGGGACGCCGAAAGCCCAAGGAUUCCUACGGAACGUCAGACGGCGUAGGGUAAGUCGGGGCCUAAGCCGUAGCCGCAAGGCGCAGGCGAAGGACAGCUGGUGAAUAUUCCAGCACCACCUAUUUUCCAUUGAAGCGCGGGGGGACGGGGAAGGUUAGGUGGAGCAUCCCAACCGGACACGGGGUGUCCUCCCCGGUAGGCGAUGCUUCCAGAGGAAAAUCCCUGGGAGCGAUAAGCUGAGGGGGGAGGGAAUUUCCCGCUUUCGAGCGGGGGAAACUCCAUUGGUUCCAUGCCUCCAAGAAAAGCCUCGCGGGGAGGAAAACUGGUGCCCGUACCGCAAACCGCCACAGGUGGGCAGGGGUGAGAGCCCCAAGGGGAACGUGAGAACCAUGGCUAAGGAACUCGGCAAACUAGACCCGUAACUUUGGGAGAAGGGUUGCCCUGCGAGGUGAAGGCGCUUGCCGCCGGAGCGUCGUGGGGCCGCAGCGUAGCAUCUCUGGCGACUGUUUACCUAAAACCUAGGUCCCUGCCAAGGAGAAAUCCGAGGUAUAGGGACUGACGCCUGCCCAGUGCCGGAAGGUUAAGUGGACGGGUCAUUUCCGGAGGGAGACUGUAGACCGCUUCUGAGAGAACACAUGGAAGAGGGAUAGAGUCUCCCUUCGGAGAGAAGCUUGGAAAUGAAGCCCCGGUGAACGGCGGCCGUAACUCUAACGGUCCUAAGGUAGCGAAGUCCCUUGUCGGGUAAGUUCCGACCCGCAUGAAUGGCGGAACGACUGGAGGACUGUCUCAGCGUGGGGCUCGGUGAAAUUGCAGGGCCUGUGCAGAUGCGGGCGACCCGCGGCGGGACAAAAAGACCCCGUGGAGCUUUACUGCACCCUGGCACUGGACGGGGGUCCGAGAUGUGUAGGAUAGGUGGGAGGCUAAGAAGGUCGGGCGCCAGCCCGGCUGGAGCCGCCGGUGAAAUACCACUCUUCCCUGAUCUUUGCCCUCACCCCGGAACACACCGGGGAACCAUGCCAGGCGGGUAGUUUGACUGGGGCGGUCGCCUCCUAAAAAGUAACGGAGGCGUCCAAAGGUCCACUCAGGACGGAUGGAAAUCGUCCGGUGCGUGCAUUGGCAGAAGUGGGCUUGACUGUGAGGCCAACAAGCCGAGCAGGGACGAAAGUCGGGCAAAGUGAUCCUACGGUUCCGUGUGGAAGGGCCGUGGCUUAUCGGAUAAAAGCUACCCCGGGGAUAACAGACUAAUCUCGCCCAAGAGUUCACAUCGACGGCGAGGUUUGGCACCUCGAUGUCGGCUCGUCGCAUCCUGGGGCUGAAGAAGGUCCCAAGGGUUGGGCUGUUCGCCCAUUAAAGCGGCACGCGAGCUGGGUUUAGAACGUCGUGAGACAGUUCGGUCCCUAUCCUCCAUGGUCGUAAGAAAUUUGAGGGAAUUUGCUUCUAGUACGAGAGGACCGAAGUGAACGAACCUCUAGUGUAUCUGUUGUCAUAUCAAUGGCAUUGCAGAGUAGCUACGUUCGGUUGGGAUAAGCGCUGAAAGCAUAUAAGCACGAAACCCAUCCCAAGAUUAGAUUUCUCUUUCU
rnacentral:rRNA from 1 species